UUAACGGGAUGGCUUUUCAUUAGUGUAAAGAGCUUUUGGAAUAAGGGCUGGGCAAGACCGGUGCCAGCCGCCGCGGUAACACCGGCAGCUCUAGUGGUAGCAACUUUUAUUGGGCCUAAAGCGUCCGUAGCCGGUUUAAUAAGUCUCUGGUGAAAUCCUGUAGCUUAACUGUGGGAAUUGCUGGAGAUACUAUUAGACUUGAGACCGGGAGAGGUUAGAGGUACUCCCAGGGUAGAGGUGAAAUUCUGUAAUCCUGGGAGGACCGCCUGUUGC
rnacentral:rRNA from 1 species